AGUGAACGCUGGCGGUAGGCCUAACACAUGCAAGUCGAACGGCAGCACAGUAAGAGCUUGCUCUUACGGGUGGCGAGUGGCGGACGGGUGAGGAAUACAUCGGAAUCUACUUUUUCGUGGGGGAUAACGUAGGGAAACUUACGCUAAUACCGCAUACGACCUACGGGUGAAAGCAGGGGAUCUUCGGACCUUGCGCGAUUGAAUGAGCCGAUGUCGGAUUAGCUAGUUGGCGGGGUAAAGGCCCACCAAGGCGACAAUCCGUAGCGGGUCUGAGAGGAUGAUCAGCCACACUGGAACUGAGACACGGUCCAGACUCCUACGGGAGGCAGCAGUGGGGAAUAUUGGACAAUGGGCGCAAGCCUGAUCCAGCCAUACCGCGUGGGUGAAGAAGGCCUUCGGGUUGUAAAGCCCUUUUGUUGGGAAAGAAAAGCAGCAGGUUAAUACCCCGCUGUUCUGACGGUACCCAAAGAAUAAGCACCGGCUAACUUCGUG
rnacentral:rRNA from 1 species